rnacentral:pre_miRNA from 1 species
AGUAGGAUUGCUGGGUCAUGUGGCAAUUCUGUUUUUAGUUGUUUGAGGAACCUCCAUAUUAUUUUCCAAAAUGGCUGUGCUAAUUUGCAUCCCUACCAAUGAU